UCUACCCACAGUGAAGGAAGAGGAACCUUAGCCUAGUAUACCUCAUUUGAUCAAACAGUAAAAUUGGUACUUAGCACACCUGAAAAUGCUUGUCAGAAUCCUAUUUUUCUGUUUUCCUGUUUCUAGCUUGAUAACCUUGCAUACUUACAAGUUCUACAGGGGUUAAUACAUUGGAACUACCUUGGGGAUAGAAGUAUUUGGAAGCACUGGAAUUCCUGUUUCUCCAAGUAAACAGCAAGGGAGGAUGAGAGAGGUCCAGAUGUCAGUCUGACAACCAGCAGUCUCUUGAAAGCGGCACUGUGGUGGGCAGUUUCGGUAUGGUGAUUUGUUUGAUCUAUUAUAAAAUCCUCUACACCAGUGUGUAGCUACCACCCACUUCUAUUUAUUAUGCAGUUUUAUUUUUGCUUGGUAAUAUUUUUCUUGUGUUUAUUUUAAAAGGUCUACAUUUUGUGGUGACAGUCUCCCAUUUUCCAAAUUAACUGCUAGCAGAUGUUGCUGUGUGGUGUGAAGCACACACAGCAGCCUAAACCGCCAAGGUCUGGAUACUGGCUUAGAAAAAAAACUACCUUUGUGCUAUUCAAGCAAGUUUCAGGAGUGUCUAUAAUAUGCUUAUGUAGAAUCUUGUUCAGAAAAUAAAUUACUGUUGUUUUUGUAGCAUUUAGAUGGCUUUAGUGUUUGGAAUUACUGCUGAAACCUAAAAAGUCUGUACCAUGGUUUAUGAAAUAUCAUUUGAGCAGUGUUAUUUAGAAAAGGAUUAGCUACGGAUACAUUAUAUACAGGGGAAUGCAGGUAAGUAAUACUUGGAGCUACAACUACCCAGUAUUGUCCCUUAUAAAAUCCUUGCUACUGUCGCACAUGGCUGCUAAACCUUACCUUUUGGAGCUAAAAGCUUCAGUGCGAGCAGAGCGCUUUGAGUACGCUGCUUUUGAAACUGUUGCUGAAAAUGAGAUUGAGAAAUGGGGGUUUGUGCUUUUCCUUUUGGAUUAAGGUAUUGCAAUUUGGCUGGGGCAUUGUCCUGUGGCCAAGGAUGUGCUUUUUUUUUGCUGCAUCUGUGAAAUUUCAUCUGGUUUUGGACAAACCAUGCAUUUGUGAGAAGCUGAGGUUGCAUAUGUUGUAGAGUGACUUGCUACUCAUCAGGGCCAUUUGUAUAUUAUGCUACAAUUGCUCAUCCAGGGAACUAGGCGAGUUAUAAGCACUCGCUGUUCUCCAUGCCUGGUGUGAGUAGGACAAGACGGGGAAAGAAAGGGUAUGAUAGUGCAGCGUGUAGUUCACUGCCUAACUUGUUGCCAGACUGCUCAGGAGGACGCGUGGCUGGUGUGGCUGUGGCUCCACCAAGGCAGGUUUUUAAGAUCUGUUUGUGCGAGUGUGUUAGGAACGACGCAGGUAUAGUUGGUUCUGCAUUAGGGCAGGGAGGUGGACUAGAAAACCUUUAAAGUUUCCUUUCAGAUCUACCAUUCUCUGUCUAAGCCUUGCUCUGUAGCCUCCCUCAAAGCAAUUGGCAAGUUACCCCGUGAGAUACGUUACUGCAGAAGGGCUGUCCACUAGAUGUCAGUGGAACUUCACUGAAAUAAGAUUCAAAAAGCCUUUUCUGGUCGGUCGUUAAAGAGGUGAUGUACAGGUGAGCAUCAGCACUGUGCUUGCAGCCCGCUCAGCACCGCGCCUGGGCUAAGGCUUGUUCUGCUUCUCCAUGGGCAUCCCACGCUGACCUGAGGAACGGAGCCAUCCCUGGGCUUCUGUGUGGUGGCCAACACCUCACACAAGUUUAACACCCGAAAAUGAGACUGUUUCGUGUUAAGGUUUUGAAGAGUCUGUGGAUGGGUACAGCAAUGCUUUUUGGGAUUAGCACUGUGUGAGCACGUUAGAACAAAUGCCUUUCUUGUUGUGAAAGUAUUUCAAUGGUGAUCUAUUUGCUGGGAUUGCUAAGGAUUUUAUUUUCUUACCUUCUUAUUUUCACAACAGCUAUUGCUGCAUUUUAUUCUAAGACAACUCUGUGAUGGUAAGGAAUAUGCAGACUUCUGUAUGCUUUUUUGCUUUAAGAAAAAGCUGUGAAGAGGACCUGAAUGGGCUUGUUAUUGAAGUUGCUGAAGUUGUUGAAGAGGACCGUGUUAUGGCCUAAUAAUCUUGUUAAAGGAGCGUUAUCACAAAGGUUGCAGGUAAACAGAAGUUGGUCUUCACCAGUGUUUUUAAUGCAUAAGUUGGAUGAAUUAUAUCUGCUUUAUUUCACUUGACCUACUAGAGGUCCCUCCAGUUAAAUCACCUGUAGUUGGCCUACAGUUGACCCUUUGUUGACUUAUUUAACCAUCUGCCUAGUUUUCAGAACAGGUUAUGAGCAUUCAGACUUAAAUCAGUCCUUGAAAAGGUCCUGUCAUUAGGCAAUAAGGCUCAUAGCUGAUAAUCUGCCCGUCACAUAUUAUGAACACAGAUGACAAUCACUUACCUCUUUUAUGUCAUAAGGCUGAAAUUGCCUGAAAUGAGGAAGAAAGCCAUUAUUUAAUCAAUGGAAUUGCGUCAAUUGAGUAAAAUUUGUCUCUAGUGUAAACAAAUGGAAUGUCUUUGCACUCUGUGAAAACAAGACAAAAUUACUUGCAGAUCUUGCAGAUCGAAAAACAUAGGAAGUGGGCUUGUAGGCUGACACAUUCAGGGUUUCAGAGUAUGCAUUUAAAAUAAUUAUCCAGAUUGCACUGGAUUACUUAAUAUAUUUUUUGUAUCAUGUGUAUACACUUUUAUAUUUGAAACAAUAAAAGCAGUAUUAGUCCUUUUUUAGUCAUGUUUGAUUAUUUGAGAAAUUCCUUAGAACAAUGCAAGAUUACUACUGAUAAAAGUAUUUGUUAAAUAAGAAAAUGUCAAAAACCAGUUUUAACUUCUGAAGAUGAACUGAAGAGCCGUCAUUAGUGUGUUGCAAGACACAGAAGGUUUUGGUACAAAUACAUAUGAGAGACUUGAUGUGAGAGAAUGAUCUUCUAUUAAAAAAAAUAAAAUUUAAAUUUCCUCCUUGUAGCCUCAUGAAUAUAUAAUAGCAGAACACAAUAAAGAAUUAAGCAAUUUCUAGAUUCAUGCAUUUACCCAAGUGCCCCGUUUUUAGUACCAUGAACACUCAAUAUUUAGUGGCUGCCUCCUGGAGAACAAUUUAUAUGUGAAAUAAACAGAAGCUGCGUAGGGUGUUGGGAUAUCAGCCUGCAGGUAUUUUGCAUAUCUUUAAGUUGUCCACAGGUCCAAUGGGAGAAAAUGUGGGUGUGUUAAAGAUGUAUGUUUCUAAUCUGUAAACAUUGUGAUUUACUUGCUAAAGUAAUUUUGUUUGCAGUUUUGUAAAUGACCUAAAGUGACCAGCUGGAGUAAAAUCAAUCAUGUGUUGAAUUGAGAAGCUGAUCUUGCGUUCUAGAGGCAGCAGGUAUGCCUAUGUAAGUCAUCCUCAUUGAUUCAGGAACUGGGAUUGCUCUACAGAGAAGUUUGCAGGAAGAAGCUGGUCUGGGAACCAGGAAAUUCUGGUUCAUCAAGGCCUGAUCUGCUGCUUAGGAUAGAAAUAACGGACCACGCUGAGAGCAUUUAAUCCUUUUGCAUGCCUCUCUAUGAACUAAGAAGGUGGUCCUUGCUUGAAACAGGUAAGACCAUCAUCAGACCACUAAGGUGACCAGUUGUAGCUUCGUUCACACUGGUGUUCAGUGGAUGCCAAGCAUUUGCAGGAUGAAGGCCAAUAUUUAUAACUCCAAUCUACUGCAUGGCUCUUUUUCAGUUCUUGAUUCUUAACAGGUGCUCUCCCCCUGCCCAGUGCUCUGCAGGCUGUGAAAACAAUUGAAGGUAUUACGGUUAGACACUAAAUACAUCAUGAAGAUUAACUUGAUAAAUGGUCAAUUCUGGCUUCAUGCUUGAAAUUUAAGUCAAUUGUCUGGAUGAAAUGUGUAAAUCCCUGUAUAACAGACAUUUAUCUCUUUCCAGACUUUUCAGUGCUCUGCACAAGAUGAAAGCAAGCAAGUGGAUAAUUUUUUCUGGUGGUGAUGCUGUAUUUUUCUUCUGCUAGGAAUAAUUUCCUGGGAUGUGGUGUCCAGCUGUGUGCAUACAAUAUGUGUUGACAAUGAGGGACACAGGUACUUUGGCAAGUAUUUCUACUGGUGAUGCUCUGAAUAGCCUAGGAUCUGGUAGACAUCCCAGGUGGAAAAUGGGAUCUUCCCUUCCAAGCAUUCCUGCCAGUGUCCUACAGGUCACAUCCCUGUGCUUGGGGCUUGCCCCUGACAUGAGCGAGGGGAGUAUUUAUUCUCCCUAAUAGCCUGCAGGAAUUGUGCUGCAUAUGCUUUAAUGGGAAUAUUCUCUUCUCUCUUGCCUCUUUCCCUUCCUCUCCCUCCUGACCCUAGCUUUUCCCCUUCUUUUACCUUUUCUGGAUGGAUUGUAUGUUUUCAAAGUUUAAAGCUUGCUUGUUCUCCCAUUGUUCCCUAAGUGCCAUGGCUUGAAGUAUCACAGGCCAAUCAUCAAAGCACCUUUAAUAAGGGAUUUGUCAGGAACUCAUGUGUGUAUGAGCUAUAUUUCUUUGCACAGUGAAUUUUGUGGGUUAUCAGAGCAAAAUAUGACUUGCUUUGACAGUGGUCCCAUCAUAAGCUCUUACCUUCAAGAAUUCAACCUCCCACUUUUACAACCUAUUCAUAGUCCCUUUGGAAAUUUUAAACACAGCAUGUUAGGAUGUUGGUUAACAGCAAAUAAACCUGUGCGCUGACCUGCCCAUGUGCUAAUAAUAAGUCAUGAGUCUGCUUUUUAAGAAACUCUGUCACAAAUGGUGGUUGAAAAAAUAAAUGAACGACUGAAUUCCUACAGAUAAGACCAUCCAGAUGGGACUGCUGGGGGGUAGGCUAAUGAGUUAGCCUUGAGGCCUUGACAGUCUUCCUUCUAAAAAAAAGUGUUGUUCAGAUGAGCCCAUGGCCUCUAUUUUCCAAAGGUGAAAUUUACCAUGGAGUGAAGGGCCAGCAAAAGGUCUCUGCCUCAGGCGUGCACGAGGCUUGACAGAUAGAUAAGGUUUGUGCUAGCAAACUUCGAUUUUUGGGAGUAAAUUAGCUCUUUUGGAGAGGUCCUGAAGUGCGACCAGACCUAGCCGUGAAUGUUUUGUACAGGCUUUUGACACACUCCUGGUCGUCAAGGAUAUGCAGAGGGGCAUGCAUUUAUGGAUUAGAUAGUGGAUGUAUGAUCAACUUGCUUAUACCUUUUUAAUGAGUAUGCAUAAGGACUGCGUGUGUGGGAAAUAGGCCAUCAUUUUUUGCAAGAAUUGGAUGGCUUUAAUUUCUAGCUUUGUUUUUUUGUUAUAUCACUGUAGCAAUUAGUUCCACUUUUCCAUACUACUAAUCAGUUCAGCAUUUUCUGAAAGGACUUUCUGUACUGCAGAAAUUACUUCCAUUUGCAUGGAAAGUUGGAUUUGCUUAAAAUAAAAAAUGAAAUUUGUGGCCAGCAGACACACCAGAUAUUAGGUACCUUUUUGGGGGGUGGGAGGUGGCUACAGAAUAUCACCAACAGACAACAAUGAUAUGCAGCUAUUAUCUCUAUUGCACAAGUAUUUCAGUUUUUGGGUGUACGUGGUGAUGGUGUUGCUUUAUUUCUUGGACAAAAACACUGUGUGGGUAAAAACUACUAAACUCCUUGGUCUUAGGAGUUGCUUCCUCUUUUGGCUGAUGGACAAUUUACAGAGUUAGUUCCAUGAUUUCUAGCGUCUCAAGAGUGCAUUAGAGUUUCACAGCAGGAGAUUUGUAAAAGGGAAAGGAAUGGUGUACAGGGAAUUAAAAGGUCUGUAAAACUAGAGGCUCGCUCUCCUGUGAGGAGUGAUCUUGUCUAAAUCAAUAAAUGUCUAUAGUCUGUGUUUUUCAGCUGUGAUUAUUAGGACUGUGUGUUCAGUCAGUGCAUUCUGAGCAGAGCUUAGUAACACCAAAAAAUGUAUUUACAGCUAUUUGUCCAAAUUCUGAAUAACCGUCCCUUUUGUACUCUGUUCUUUGCUAUUCCCAAACCAUAGUGCAGACAGGCUUUGGCUCAGAGUCCAGUGAAGUAUUUCUAAGCAUGCUUAACUCCAGGCACAUGACUACUCCAGUUAAUUUUUGUAAGACUUUCUACAGGCUUAAAGAUAAGCACAUGCUUAAAUGGUUUGCUAACACUGAGUCUCAUUUUUCCUGAGUAUUUAGAAGAACACUGUUUUUGGUGACUGCGCCAUGCACAAUAAAAGAUGUUCUUGAAUAAA